rnacentral:rRNA from 1 species
GACGGAGGGCGCGGGUGUUAUUCGUUUUGAUUGGGUGUAAAGGGUACGUAGGUGGUUUCCUGAAAUUUGACUAAAAGCGCGGAGUAUUCCUACGCGGUAGUCUUUGAUGAUAGAGCUUGAGUUGAAGAGAGGUAGGGGCAAAUUCUCAAGUAGGGGUAAAAGUCUUCCCAUAUGAGAAUGAACGUCAGCUGGCGAAGGCGCCUUUCCAGUUUCAACUGACGCUAAGGUACGGAAGCGCGGGUAGCAAACGGG